rnacentral:rRNA from 1 species
UACGUAGGGUGCAAGCGUUAAUCGGAAUUACUGGGCGUAAAGCGUGCGCAGGCGGCUUUGCAAGUCGGGUGUGAAAUCCCCAGGCUUAACCUGGGAACUGCAUUCGAGACUGCAUUGCUAGAGUAUGGGAGAGGGAAGUGGAAUUUCCGGUGUAGCGGUGAAAUGCGUAGAUAUCGGAAGGAACAUCAGUGGCGAAAGCGACUUCCUGGACCAAUACUGACGCUCAUGUGCGAAAGCGUGGGGAGCAAACAGG